CCUACGGGAGGCAGCAGUGGGGAAUAUUGGACAAUGGGGGAAAGCCUGAUCCAGCCAUGCCGCGUGUGUGAAGAAGGUCUUCGGAUUGUAAAGCACUUUAAGUUGGGAGGAAGGGCAGUAAGUUAAUACCUUGCUGUUUUGACGUUACCGACAGAAUAAGCACCGGCUAACUCUGUGCCAGCAGCCGCGGUAAU
rnacentral:rRNA from 1 species